ACCUCUCGGGGUUACAGCCUUGCUGAAUUAUUCACCCUUGUCUUUUGCGUACUUCUUGUUUCCUUGGUGGGUUCGCCCACCACUAGGACAAACAUAAACCUUUUGUAAUUGCAAUCAGCGUCAGUAACAAAUUAAUAAUUACAACUUUCAACAACGGAUCUCUUGGUUCUGGCAUCGAUGAAGAACGCAGCGAAAUGCGAUAAGUAGUGUGAAUUGCAGAAUUCAGUGAAUCAUCGAAUCUUUGAACGCACAUUGCGCCCUUUGGUAUUCCAAAGGGCAUGCCUGUUCGAGCGUCAUUUGUACCCUCAAGCUUUGCUUGGUGUUGGGCGUCUUGUCUCUAGCUUUGCUGGAGACUCGCCUUAAAGUAAUUGGCAGCCGGCCUACUGGUUUCGGAGCGCAGCACAAGUCGCACUCUCUAUCAGCAAAGGUCUAGCAUCCAUUAAGCCUUUUUUUCAACUUUUGACCUCGGAUCAGGUAGGGAUACCCGCUGAACUUAAGCAUAUCAAUAAGCCGGAGGAAAA
rnacentral:rRNA from 1 species